GCCCUCAUAGCUCAGCUGGAUAGAGCGUCCCCCUCCUAAGGGGAAGGUCGCACGUUCGAAUCGUGCUGGGGGCA
rnacentral:tRNA from 1 species